GACGUAGGGCGCGAGCGUUGUCCGGAUUUAUUGGGCGUAAAGAGCUCGUAGGCGGCUUGUCGCGUCGUCCGUGAAAACUUGGGGCUCAACCCCAAGCUUGCGGUCGAUACGGGCAGGCUAGAGUUCGGUAGGGGAGACUGGAAUUCCUGGUGUAGCGGUGAAAUGCGCAGAUAUCAGGAGGAACACCGGUGGCGAAGGCGGAUCUCUGGGCCAUUACUGACGCUGAGGCACGAAAGCGUGGGUAGCAAACAGG
rnacentral:rRNA from 1 species